GAUGAACGCUGGCGGCGUGCUUAACACAUGCAAGUCGAACGAAGCACUUUAUUUGAUUUCCUUCGGGAUUGAUUAUUUUGUGACUGAGUGGCGGACGGGUGAGUAACGCGUGGGUAACCUGCCUUGUACAGGGGGAUAACAGUUGGAAACGGCUGCUAAUACCGCAUAAGCGCACGGCAUCGCAUGAUGCAGUGUGAAAAACUCCGGUGGUAUAAGAUGGACCCGCGUUGGAUUAGCUAGUUGGUGAGGUAACGGCCCACCAAGGCGACGAUCCAUAGCCGACCUGAGAGGGUGACCGGCCACAUUGGGACUGAGACACGGCCCAAACUCCUACGGGAGGCAGCAGUGGGUAAUAUUGCACAAUGGGCGAAAGCCUGAUGCAGCGACGCCGCGUGAGCGAAGAAGUAUUUCGGUAUGUAAAGCUCUAUCAGCAGGGAAGAUAAUGACGGUACCUGACUAAGAAGCACCGGCUAAAUACGUG
rnacentral:rRNA from 1 species